UCUGUAACUGUCAAAUCAUCUCAUUACUGAUUUUCUGGAGUUCAGUGAUACAACUACACAGACUGUCAACACACUCUCAACAGUUUAAGAGAACAUGUGUGACCAGCUCUAUUCAGUUAAGGAUACUCUCCUCUUCUUCACUAAAUGCUGUCACAUCCUACAACCUCAUCAUCUGCAGAGAGAAACUGCCAUUCAAUCACACCAAAAUACAGAUAACAAUUAACUUACAGGCAUCGUAGAGGAUUGUGAAGAUAUUUCACUGGAGCUUGGUCUUCAAUACACUAUUUUAUGUUCUAUUUUGUUUUACUUCUUUAAGCAUUUUUUAUGUUCAAUGUCCAUUGUCAUUCAU